GGUUAAGCGACUAAGCGUACACGGUGGAUGCCCUGGCAGUCAGAGGCGAUGAAGGACGUGCUAAUCUGCGAAAAGCGUCGGUAAGGUGAUAUGAACCGUUACAGCCGGCGAUGUCCGAAUGGGGAAACCCAGUGCAAUUCGUUGCACUAUCGUUAACUGAAUACAUAGGUUAACGAGGCGAACCGGGGGAACUGAAACAUCUAAGUACCCCGAGGAAAAGAAAUCAACCGAGAUUCCCCCAGUAGCGGCGAGCGAACGGGGAGCAGCCCGGAGUCUGAAUCAGCUUGUGUGUUAGUGGAAGCGUCUGGAAAGUCGCAGGGUACAGGGUGAUACUCCCGUACACUAAAACACACAGGUUGUGAACUCGAAGAGUAGGGCGGGACACGUGGUAUCCUGUCUGAAUAUGGGGGGACCAUCCUCCAAGGCUAAAUACUCCUGACUGACCGAUAGUGAACCAGUACCGUGAGGGAAAGGCGAAAAGAACCCCGGCGAGGGGAGUGAAAAAGAACCUGAAACCGUGUACGUACAAGCAGUAGGAGCCCACUUGUUGGGUGACUGCGUACCUUUUGUAUAAUGGGUCAGCGACUUAUAUUCUGUAGCAAGGUUAACCGUAUAGGGGAGCCGCAGGGAAACCGAGUCUUAACUGGGCGUUAAGUUGCAGGGUAUAGACCCGAAACCCGGUGAUCUAGCCAUGGGCAGGUUGAAGGUUGGGUAACACUAACUGGAGGACCGAACCGACUAAUGUUGAAAAAUUAGCGGAUGACUUGUGGCUGGGGGUGAAAGGCCAAUCAAACCGGGAGAUAGCUGGUUCUCCCCGAAAGCUAUUUAGGUAGCGCCUCGUGAACUCAUCUUCGGGGGUAGAGCACUGUUUCGGCUAGGGGGUCAUCCCGACUUACCAACCCGAUGCAAACUACGAAUACCGAAGAAUGUUAUCACGGGAGACACACGGCGGGUGCUAACGUCCGUCGUGAAGAGGGAAACAACCCAGACCGCCAGCUAAGGUCCCAAAGUCAUGGUUAAGUGGGAAACGAUGUGGGAAGGCCCAGACAGCCAGGAUGUUGGCUUAGAAGCAGCCAUCAUUUAAAGAAAGCGUAAUAGCUCACUGGUCGAGUCGGCCUGCGCGGAAGAUGUAACGGGGCUAAACCAUGCACCGAAGCUGCGGCAGCGACACUAUGUGUUGUUGGGUAGGGGAGCGUUCUGUAAGCCGUUGAAGGUGGCCUGUGAGGGUUGCUGGAGGUAUCAGAAGUGCGAAUGCUGACAUAAGUAACGAUAAUGCGGGUGAAAAACCCGCACGCCGGAAGACCAAGGGUUCCUGUCCAACGUUAAUCGGGGCAGGGUGAGUCGACCCCUAAGGCGAGGCCGAAAGGCGUAGUCGAUGGGAAACAGGUUAAUAUUCCUGUACUCGGUGUUACUGCGAAGGGGGGACGGAGAAGGCUAUGUUGGCCGGGCGACGGUUGUCCCGGUUUAAGCAUGUAGGCGGAUGUUCCAGGUAAAUCCGGAACGUUAUUAACGCUGAGGUGUGAUGACGAGGCACUACGGUGCUGAAGUGACAAAUGCCCUGCUUCCAGGAAAAGCCUCUAAGCAUCAGGUAACAUCAAAUCGUACCCCAAACCGACACAGGUGGUCAGGUAGAGAAUACCAAGGCGCUUGAGAGAACUCGGGUGAAGGAACUAGGCAAAAUGGUGCCGUAACUUCGGGAGAAGGCACGCUGAUGGUAGGUGAAGUGACUUGCUCAUGGAGCUGAAAUCAGUCGAAGAUACCAGCUGGCUGCAACUGUUUAUUAAAAACACAGCACUGUGCAAACACGAAAGUGGACGUAUACGGUGUGACGCCUGCCCGGUGCCGGAAGGUUAAUUGAUGGGGUUAUCCUCGCGGAGAAGCUCUUGAUCGAAGCCCCGGUAAACGGCGGCCGUAACUAUAACGGUCCUAAGGUAGCGAAAUUCCUUGUCGGGUAAGUUCCGACCUGCACGAAUGGCGUAAUGAUGGCCAGGCUGUCUCCACCCGAGACUCAGUGAAAUUGAACUCGCUGUGAAGAUGCAGUGUACCCGCGGCAAGACGGAAAGACCCCGUGAACCUUUACUAUAGCUUGACACUGAACACUGGUCCUUGAUGUGUAGGAUAGGUGGGAGGCUUUGAAGUGUGGACGCCAGUCUGCAUGGAGCCAUCCUUGAAAUACCACCCUUUAAUGGCUGGUGUUCUAACGUGGGCCCGUAAUCCGGGUUGCGGACAGUGUCUGGUGGGUAGUUUGACUGGGGCGGUCUCCUCCUAAAGAGUAACGGAGGAGCACGAAGGUCAGCUAAUCCUGGUCGGACAUCAGGAGGUUAGUGCAAUGGCAUAAGCUGGCUUGACUGCGAGCGUGACGGCGCGAGCAGGUGCGAAAGCAGGUCAUAGUGAUCCGGUGGUUCUGAAUGGAAGGGCCAUCGCUCAACGGAUAAAAGGUACUCCGGGGAUAACAGGCUGAUACCGCCCAAGAGUUCAUAUCGACGGCGGUGUUUGGCACCUCGAUGUCGGCUCAUCACAUCCUGGGGCUGAAGUAGGUCCCAAGGGUAUGGCUGUUCGCCAUUUAAAGUGGUACGCGAGCUGGGUUUAGAACGUCGUGAGACAGUUCGGUCCCUAUCUGCCGUGGGCGCUGGAGAAUUGAGGGGGGCUGCUCCUAGUACGAGAGGACCGGAGUGGACGCAUCACUGGUGUUCGGGUUGUCAUGCCAAUGGCAUUGCCCGGUAGCUAAAUGCGGAAGAGAUAAGUGCUGAAAGCAUCUAAGCACGAAACUUGCCCCGAGAUGAGUUCUCCCUGACUCCUUGAGAGUCCUGAAGGAACGUUGAAGACGACGACGUUGAUAGGCCGGGUGUGUAAGCGCAGCGAUGCGUUGAGCUAACCGGUACUAAUGAACCGUGAGGCUUAACCUU
rnacentral:rRNA from 1 species